CUGAAAAGCACCAGCACACGGAUCACUACAGACACGGAGCACUAAAGACACGGAGCACUACAAAGACACGGAGCACUACAAAGACACGGAUCACUACAGAGACACGGAUCACUACAGAGACACGGAUCACUAUACAGACACGGAUCACUACAGAUACGGAUCACUACAGACAGGAUCACUGCACGGAGGCAGACGAGGAGCACUGUAGGGAGU